UCUAGGUGGCUCCCAUUUUGGCUUCAGUGUUUCCAAGCGCAUGGAGGAAAGCGCGUUCUUUCUUAUUUAUCUUCGGUAAUGAACAUAGUAUUCUCCGUAUUAAAUGUUUUCAUUUAUUUGCGUAUUAGGAUACCUAAGGUUUGAUUAUAAAUGUUGUUUGACUUGUUUGGAAAAGUUUAUUAGUAACGUUUGGGAUUAAUUUUGUAUGCAUUUUGAUGGAGGGAAACUGAGUGGAUUAUUGACUGAAGCGCGCCAGCUAAACUGAGUUUUAUGGAUAUAAAGAAGGACUUUAUCGAACAAAAGGACCAUUUGUAAUGUAACUGAGAUCUUUUGGAGUGCCAACAGAAUGAGAUCUUCAAAGAGUAAAAGCCUGAAACAAUGCCUAAAGACUGGCCACAUGUAGAAGAAGCCAGAGAGAUCGUGAACUGGGUCCUAAGUCUUUGUAUGGUGGAUAGGCUUUCAAUGGAAAAACAGCCUUUCAAAAUAAUAGUACUUCCUGGAUGGAUUUUCCUCAGGUUUUUGCCUGCCAUAUCAGUUCUGUUAUACUUACAGACAUAAUUUUAACAGUUUUGGAAACUUUAGAGUGUUUUCUAUCCAAAUCUACCAAUUAUAUGCUUAUCCUAGCUUCUGGGCCUGAGUAGCAGGCAGUUUUCUUUGGGCAUGCUUUUCAUCCAAAAUUCCAAAUGCUGGAUGGGUUUCAACAAACAUUUUCCAUCUAGCUAGUUGGUCAUCUACAUGUUGCUAGGUAUACAUAUAGUUCAGAGGAGGCUGCUGAAGGGGAGGAUGGCUCAUAAUAAUAUCUUCAACAUCCACGGUUCCCUUGAGGUCAUCGUGAGUGACCAGGGUAAUGAACGCUUGAACAAGGUUUGGUGAAUGGACCAACCAGACCCUCAGUACUGCCAUGGGCAAGUCCCUUAAUUGGUACCAGGAAGGGUGGGAGAACAUCAUGAAGGUAAUUCUCUUUGCACACAACAGCAUCAUCCAGGCUUCCGCCGAGUACAGACGGGAGCCGCAGCUGUUGACUGAGAUCACUGAAACCCAACCUGAUGUGGUGGAAGUUGUCGAACCAGAUCAGAACGCCUUCGAGGACCACCUUCAGGGACGGACUGAGAAGGAUGUGGAAGUUUUUGACCAGGUGAGACUGAACAUCGACGAGGAGCAGGAGAAACAGAAGGAGAGCUACUGGAGCAGAAUCAAGAAGGGGACUAAGUGCUAUGACAUCCGGGCGUAUUAUUUGGUUUGGAAGAUGGACGAAAGGAAGAUGAACCUGGGAAACCUCGCUGCUCUUUCGCUCCUAGCUGAGGUCACCAUCUGUUAAAGGUUUACCUUGGUGGAAUCCAACAAUCUUCUCGUUGGAGUAGUUGGACCAUCGACUCUCCGAGCCCCCAAGGAGAUAUGCCACCCACCAGAACCAGUGAGUUCGGAUCAGUCUGAUUGUCUGUGCUCUGAGUCGGAGGGGGACCAUCUUGAGGACCUAGGGGUUCUGCCCAACACCCAGACGUGGAUCCACCUGAUGUCCUUCAUUACAAACCACCCUCCUACUUUUUGUUACAUCAUCUACAGCAACUGUUAUUGUCAUAUUGUCAUUAUCUGCUAAGAAAGUUUUCUUGCUCUAUCAUACUGGGCCAAUAUAUGUGAAAUUCACAGAUUAACUGAAAACACUAGCACUGCAAACACUCAGAACAAAGAGAGCAGCAGUGCCUGGACUUUGUAGUCUCCCUCUUCAAUUCCCCCUUCCAUGACUGGCUCCCAGUUGAGAACAAGUGACAGGCAAGAACCUCCCACCCACACAGCAAUCACCUCCUCUAUAAUCCACACAUCAGAAUUCAGUAUUUUAGUCUAUGCCAUGUGAGUGGACAAAAAAUUUACCAAAAACUAUCAAAGUUUGUAUUAAAAUCUUAACUAUUGCCAGGUUGGUUUUCAUAGCUGUUUCACAAGGUGUUCAUUAUUGUAUAUUGUAAGGUAUGCUUUGAUGGUAUUUAUUUGUUCCACAUUAUUCAUUGUUGUAUCCUGGGACCUACAAUACAUACAUACAGUUGAAGUCGGAAGUUUACAUACACUUAGGUUGGUGUCAUUAAAACUUGUUUUUCAACCACUCCACACAUUUCUUGUUAACAAACUAUAGUUUUGGCAAGUCGAUUAAGGCAUCUACUUUGUGCAUGACACAAGACAUUUUUCAAAAAAUAGUUUACAGACAGAUUGUUUCACUUAUAAUUCACUGUAUCACAAUUCCAGUGGGUCAGAAGUUUACAUACACUAAGUUGACUGUGCCUUUAAACAGCUUGGGAAAUUCCAGAAAAUGAUGUCAUGGCUUUAGAAGCUUCUGAUAGGCUAAUUGAUAUAAUAUGAGUCAAUUGGGGGUGUACCUGUAUUUCAAGGCCUACCGUCAAACUCAGUGCCUCUUUACUUGACAUCAUGGGAAAUUCUAAAGAAAUCAGCCAAGACCUCAGAAAAAAAAUUGUAGACAUCGACAAGUCUGGUUCAUCCUUGGGCGAAAUGUCCAAAUGCCUGAAGGUACCACAUUCAUCUGUGUAAAGAAUAGUACGCAAGUAUAAACAUCAUAGGACCAUGCAACUGUCAUACCGCUCAGGAAGGAUCUCCUAGAGAUGAACGUACUUUGGUGCGAAAAGUGCAAAUCAAUCCCAGAACAACAGCAAAGGACCUGGUGAAGAUGCUGGAGGGAACAGGUACAAAUGUACCUAUAUCCACAGUAAAACGAGUCCUAUAUCGACAUAACCUGAACGGCCGCUCAGUAAGGAAGAAGCCACUGCUCCAAAAUGGCCAUAAAAACGCCAGACUACGGUUUGCAACUGCACAUGGGGACAAAGAUCGUACUUUUUGGAGAAAUGUCCUCUGGUCUGAUGAAACAAAAAUAGAACAGUUUGGCCAUAAUGACCAUCGUUACAUUUGGAGGAAAAGGGGGACGCUUGCAAGCCGAAGAACACCAUCCCAACUGUGAAGCACGGGGGUGGCAGCAUCAUGUUGUGGGGGUGCUUUGCUGCAGGAGGGAAUGGUGCACUUCACAAAAUAGAUGGCAUCAUGAGGUGGGAAAAUAUGUGGACAUAUUGAAGAAACAUCUCAAGACAUCAGUCAGGAAGUUAAAGCUUGGUCACAAAUGGGUCUUCUAAAUGGACAAUGACCCCAAGCAUACUUCCAAAGUUGUGGCAAAAUGGCUUGAGGACAACAAAGUCAAGGUAUUGGAAUGGCCAUCACUAAGCCCUGACCUCAAUCCUAUAGAAAAUAUGUGGGCAGAACUGAAAAAGCGUACGUGAGCAAGGAGGCCUACAAACCUGACUCAGUUACACCAGCUCUGUCAGGAGGAAUGGGCCAAAAUUCACCCAACUUAUUGUGGGAAGCUUGUGGAAGGCAACCUGAAACGUUUGACUCAAGUUAAACAAUUUAAAGGCAAUGCUACCAAAUACUAAUUGAGUGUAUGUAAACUUCUGACCCACUGGGAAUGUGAUGACAGAAAUAAAAGCUGAAAUAAAUCAUUCUCUCUACUGUUAUUCUGACAUUUCACAUUCUUAAAAUAAAGUGGUGAUCCUAACUGACCUAAAAUAGGGAAUUCUUACGAGGAUUAAAUGUCAGGAAUUUUGAAGAACUGAGUUUAAAUGUAUUUGGCUAAGGUGUAUGUAAACCUCCGACUUUAUACUUUUACAUUUGAUACUUAAGUGUAUUUAGCAAUUACAUUUACUUUUCAUACUUAAGUAUAUUUACAACCAAAUACUUUUACUCAAGUAGUAUUUUACUGGGUGACUCACUUUUACUUGAGUCAUUUUCUAUUAAGGUAUCUAUACUUUUACUCAAGUAUGACAAUAGGGUACUUUAACACCACUGAAUUUACAUUACUGUAGCAUAAUCUUUCAGCACUUCUAAGGGCAAUCUGAAACACAUAUCUUGCAUUGUUUGCUAUUGUAUUAACUGGUAAUUAAAACAACCACAUUGAAAAGAUAUCAUUAUGUUGUGCAGUGGUGUAAAGUACUUAAGUAAAAAUACUAUAAAUUACUAUUUAACCUGUUGGGGCUACAGGUUAGCAAUGAACCCCGAGUCGGGAUUGCUAACAAGGCUGGAAAUUCAAAACAUCAAAAAUCUAAUAAUUUCAAUUUCUCAAACCAUCAACUAUUUUACACAAUUUAAAAGAUAAACAUCUCCUUAAUCUAACCACAUUGUUCGAUUUUCAAAGAGGCUUUACGGCAAAAGCAUAAAGUUAGAUUAUGUUAGGACAGUACAUAGCCACAAAAGUACAAACAUCCAUUUUCAAUUCAAGGUCAGGCGUCACCAAAAGCAGAAACCAGCUAGAAUUAUGCACUAACCUUUGUCAAUCUCCAUCAGAUGACACUCCUAGGACAUUAUGUUAUACAAUACAUGCAUUUUUUGUUCCAUCAAGUUCAUAUUUAUAUCCAAAAACAGCAUUUUACAGUAGCGUGAAAUUCAGAUUUUUUUCUUCUCAGAAAUGCUUCC
rnacentral:lncRNA from 1 species